UAUUAAAAAAUUCAUCUAUUUUUAGUGUUAAAAAAUUUGUGUGACUAACAAAAUAACUAGACGUCACAUGUCCCUUAUUCAGACGCAUAUUAAUUAAUUUUUAAUAGUAGGGAUAGAUGAAAUUUUUAACA
rnacentral:pre_miRNA from 1 species